UACGAAGGUCCCAAGCGUUGUUCGGAAUCACUGGGCGUAAAGGGAGCGUAGGCGGCGCGGUAAGUCAGAUGUGAAAUCCCGGGGCUCAACCCCGGAACUGCAUCCGAUACUGCCGUGCUCGAGGAUUGGAGAGGUAACUGGAAUUUACGGUGUAGCGGUGAAAUGCGUAGAUAUCGUAAGGAAGACCAGUGGCGAAGGCGGGUCUCUGGACAGUUCCUGACGCUGAGGCACGAAGGCCAGGGGAGCAAACGGG
rnacentral:rRNA from 1 species